rnacentral:snRNA from 1 species
GGAUGUGAGGACGAUCAGGCUGUGAGACCUGUCACCCCAUUGAUCACCAGGGUUGAUUUGGUUGAACUGGCCAACUAGGCAGGUGUCCCCUUCCUCCCUCACCAUUCCAUGAGCGUCCCUCCCAAAGCUGCAUGCUUGGCUUGGUUGAAGAGGAUGACCAUCCCCGAUAGGACAGGUCUUCAGUCAAGGGUAUAUGAGUAGCUGCGUUCCCCACUAGAACCUCCAAACAUGAUUAAGAGAAGCUAAAUUCUGAAAGACCUGAUAGAGAAGUUGUAACCUAUAACUUGGUAUCAAAAAUUUGAGUGAUCCACUAUGUU